rnacentral:rRNA from 1 species
UAUUGCACAAUGGGGGAAACCCUGAUGCAGCGACGCCGCGUGAGUGAAGAAGUAUUUCGGUAUGUAAAGCUCUAUCAGCAGGGAAGAAAAUGACGGUACCUGACUAAGGAGCCCCGGCUAACUACGUGCCAGCAGCCGCGGUAAUACGUAGAGGGCAAGCGUUAUCCGGAUUUACUGGGUGUAAAGGGAGCGUAGACGGCACAGCAAGUCAGAAGUGAAAGCCCGGGGCUCAACUCCGGGACUGCUUUUGAAACUGUUGGGCUGGAGUGCAGGAGAGGUAAGCGGAAUUCCUAGUGUAGCGGUGAAAUGCGUAGAUAUUAGGAGGAACACCAGUGGCGAAGGCGGCUUACUGGACUGUAACUGACGUUGAGGCUCGAAAGCAUGGGGAGCAAACAGG